rnacentral:lncRNA from 1 species
UGGCAAUAUCUACUUUUCAUCUGAACUUCAGAAAAGUUCUGUGCGGAAAACACAAACUCUUUUUAUUCAAAUAGAUGCCUCUACUUUGCAGAGCAUAUUCUGACUGGGAGCUAACUUCUGGAGGAGAACUGAACUGUGUGUGCCCAGCACUGUGUGGAAAGAGGAAUCAACCUGCCUGCAUCCACAAAAGCAAAAUGCUGCGUGCGUUGGGGAUGUUAUUGAGAGCAGAUGAAAGGCUUCCGGACUAGGAAAUACUGGGCGUGUGAAUUUUUGUCUCAGACUGGUGUGCCAUGUUCAUUCUUCUGAUAAGACUUUGUGGCAAAUGGAGGAGAACCAAAUCCCCCAACUACUUAGAAAUUAAAGCUAUACACUAGUGCAACAUCUACAGCAUUCUUAUAUAUAUUUAUAUGUAUAUA